GGCAGGGCCUCUCUGGGGGGCGGGGCGAGUGCGUGCGCAGGCUGAGCUGGACCCGGAUUGCGGCAGAGAAAUGGAGGCUCCUGAGUUGCCGGUACCUGAGGGCCUGGAUUCUUCAGCUGUCUCAAGCGAGGAUUCGUUCUUCAGUUUCUUCGAUAUCUUUCUCUUCUCACUCAUCGCCGCGUUCACCGUCUACUGGUUCUUCUUCAGGAAAAAAAAGGAGGAGAUCCCCGAUUACAGACCAUUACAGACUCCGGGGAGCAUGUUGAGGGUGAAGAGGAG